CUAGUACUCCCUCCGUCCGGAAAUACUUGUCAUUAAAAUGAAUGAAAGGGGAUGUAUCUAGAUGUAUUUUAAUCCUAGAUGCAUCCUUUUUGUUCAUUUUAAUGGCAAGUAUUUUCGGACGGAGGGAGUAUAUG
rfam:Triticum aestivum genome assembly, contig: Triticum_aestivum_CS42_TGACv1_scaffold_031677_1BL